rnacentral:lncRNA from 10 species
AACUGUGCCCUUCCUCCCUCCUCCCCCACAUCCUCACCUACCUUUUCACCUUCCUUCAUGAACAUUCUACUCACCCCACAGUGCACUGCUACUCCCCACAGCCCUCCCUUGCCUGGUGUGCAGAUGCUGGAAGGCUAGCAAGAGAAAGCAAGGGGACUGUACUGGGAAAUGAAUCUGAUGGGAGUCCCUGAACUGGUACACUCCACUCAAAAACAUCUCUCCAAUCCUAUGCGGCAUCCAUCAUUCCCACACAAGCGGAGACACACAUCGCUGCAAAGCCAAUUUCCCCCCAGUAACCAUCAGCAAGAAAUCACAAAUGCACAGGGUGGAUACCACUAGCCUACAGACUUGCAGUUUUUCCCUACCUCUGCUCUACUUUCUUCCCAGAAAAACCUACCACAAAUCGAGCUCUUCCAUUAAAUGAGUCUUUUACCCAAGACCCAGGAAGGUAGAUCAACAGGGAUAUGCCAGAACAGAACAUGCAUUUUCUCUUCUAACAUAAGGACUCUGCCAGUGCAGAAUAGGUGUUUCCGUUAAACAGCUAAACCACUGCCAAAGCAAAGUGUGAGACAGAAACAGGGCAAAGGGUUGCAUUGUUUCACGAUCAUCUCUUCUCUCCAGAAUGAAUUUUCUGUUCAUGGACCAAAGCUGGGGUCUUAUGCUCUCUGGGGUCAUGUAAGGAAAUUCCAAUCUUCAAUUCUCUUUCUAUCCUUAAGGCUAUUUCCCAGGGAAGAGGUGUUCAAAUUGUGUUCCUUGAGGUUCCAAGAAGUGCCAGGGACUGUGUAUGUGUAUGGGGCUAACAAAGGGUGCUGCGGGGAGUGGCUGGAUGGGGAAGCUCAAUAGUGGAGGCUCUGGACCUCUCAGCUCAAUUUCAACCUCUGAUUUUUUUUUCAGGCAUUGGGAUUUCUCCUAAGAGUGCUUUUUUUUUUUUCUUUUUUUUUUUUAAGAUCUGCAAACCAAUGUCCUAAGUGGGAGGAAGAUGACCUACCUGUGCUUCUCACGCAGCUAACCAUUUCCCAACAGUCUACGAGAAGGAAGAUGUAGCUUGGGUCCUGCCUAUUUCUUUCUUUCUUUUUUUUUUUAGAUGGAGUUUUGCUUUUGUUGCCCAGGCUGGAGUGCAAUGGCACCAUCUCGGCUCACUGCAACCUCUGCCUCAGCCUCCCAAGUAGCUGGGAUUACAGGUGCCUGCCACCACACCCAGCUAAUUUUUCGUAUUUUUAGUAGAGACAGGUUUCACCAUGUUGGCCAGACUGGUCUCAAACUCCUGGCAUCAAGUGAUCUGCCUGCCUCCGUCUCCCAAAGUGCUGGUGCUGGGAUUACAAGCCUGAGCCACUGUGCCCCGCCCAGCUCCUGCCUAUUUCAACCAUGUAGUCUGAGUCCACACCAGCAGCUCCCUGACUGCAGGGGCUCCUGAGAUACUUUCCUGCAAAAAAUUUCCUUAGGCACGAGUCAUUUGUUUUCCAAACCCCCUUCUCCGAUUUCACUAAUUCCCAAUUUCCCUGCAUUUGACAAAUGCAAUUAACAAGCCUCGAUCAGUUCCUGGCCGACAGCCCUCAUCAAUCAAUACGAAGACUGCACAAGGCUGAGGGGGAAGGGAAGGUAGCUGCAGUACAGGAGAGGAGGGUUUACCCCCUCUUCUUCUGUGAAUGACUUCUCCAAACCUCUCAGUCUCAAAACAUGACACUGGGUUGUCACCUUCACCAACCACUUUCUGCCUUCUGACUAAAUACAAGGUGGUAUUGUUUGUGUCCUCCGCUCCCAUUUUUUAAAGGUUUCUCCCAUCAACCUCCUCUAUCCCCUGUCUUCUCUUUAACAGAAGGCCUUGCCAUCUGCUGCCACCAUAGCUUGGGAACUCCCCCCAGCCCCAACAGUGCUGGGUGUGAUAAAUCAGCCAUCUCUCUGCUCUCAGCAGGGCCUCUUCCCCACCCACACAUUCCAGUGACAAUUUAGUGCUGCUUCCUGACCAGGAGGCUAUAAAAUCACCAUCACUACCCUCUCCCCUCCACACAUAUGCACUGGAGGACCAAAAGGACAAGGGUCACCAAGCUUGUGGUUACUACUGCUUUCACAGCCACUUCUUUGUCCUCCCCUUCCCAGGGUCCAAGCCUUCCCUUCCCAGUUGGUUUAAGAGUCAAGAUUUACCCUCUUCACCCUUCCGCUCUGCAUGUAGCCUCAGCCUCCCUUCCCCCACCACAGGGUGACAGCCUUUUCCGCUGGAGCCCUGCCUGGUACAGCCCUGUGCAUCUUUCCACCUCAUCAACUUUUCAUCUCUUUGUAAACCAAAUCGAGAAGUGUCUCCCUCCUCCCUGCCUCUCUCUCCUUCUCCGUUAUUAGCUUCAUGAGUGGGGACAUUAAUGUAUUCACUAGACAAUGUCUUCACACCACUGUUUCCUGUAAUUACAGUCACUUCCCUUCCACUGUCCUGGCUUAUUUGACUGAAAAGUGCUUGGAGGAGGGACAGUGUGGACAAAAGAUGCAACACAGGCUGAGAUUGAGUAGUGAGUAGUGUAAUGUUAACAUCCAAGAAAGUAAAACAAAUAGUCACCUCUGCAGCAGCUCAUUAAUGACUGGUAACACAUAGAGGUCAAUGUGCCAG